rnacentral:rRNA from 1 species
GACGUAGGGCGCAAGCGUUGUCCGGAUUUAUUGGGCGUAAAGAGCUCGUAGGCGGCUUGUUGCGUCGACCGUGAAAACCCGUGGCUCAACUGCGGGCUUGCGGUCGAUACGGGCGGGCUAGAGUUCGGUAGGGGAGACUGGAAUUCCUGGUGUAGCGGUGAAAUGCGCAGAUAUCAGGAAGAACACCCGUGGCGAAAGCGGCUCUCUGGAACGGUACUGACGCUGAGACGCGAAAGCGUGGGGAGCGAACAGG